rnacentral:rRNA from 1 species
UAUAAGUAUAAACGACUUGAUCGUGAAACCGCGAACGGCUCAUUAUAACAGCUAUAAUUUACUUGAUCUUGACAUCCUACUUGGAUAACUGUGGUAAUUCUAGAGCUAAUACAUGCACCAAAGCUCCGACCGUAAGGGAAGAGCGCAUUUAUUAGAACAAAACCAAGCGGCUUCGGCCGUUCAGUGUUGACUCAGAAUAACUAAGCUGAUCGCAUGGUCUUGUACCGGCGACGUGUCUUUCAAGUAUCUGCCUUAUCAACUUUCGAUGGUAGUGUAUCUGACUACCAUGGUAGUGACGGGUAACGGAGGAUAAGGGUUCGACUCCGGAGAAGGGGCCUGAGAAAUGGCCACUACGUCUAAGGAUGGCAGCAGGCGCGCAAAUUACCCACUCUCAGAACGAGGAGGUAGUGACGAGAAAUAACAAGACCGUUCUCUUUAGAGGCCGGUCAUUGGAAUGGGUACAAUUUAAACCCUUUAACGAGUAUCUAUGAGAGGGCAAGUCUGGUGCCAGCAGCCGCGGUAAUUCCAGCUCUCAAAAUGCAUAGAAUCAUUGCUGCGGUUAAAAAGCUCGUAGUUGGAUCUGUGCUGACCCCCCGGUCUACCUUCGGGUUUGCACUGGUGGGGUUGGCUUUCUGUCGCUUUUGGGCUGGUGCCCUUCACUGGGUAUCAGAUUCCGAGUGGCAAGUUUACUUUGAACAAAUCAGAGUGCUUCAAACAGGCGUUUCGCUUGAAUGUUCGUGCAUGGAAUAAUAGAAGAGGAUUUCGGUUCUAUUUUAUUGGUUUUAUAGACUGAGAUAAUGGUUAACAGAGACAAACGGGGGCAUUCGUAUUGCUACGUGAGAGGUGAAAUUCUUGGACCGUAGCAAGACGAACUACAGCGAAAGCAUUUGCCAAGAAUGUCUUCAUUAAUCAAGAACGAAAGUCAGAGGUUCGAAGGCGAUCAGAUACCGCCCUAGUUCUGACCGUAAACGAUGCCAACUAGCGAUCCGCCGGUGGAUUCCUUGCCCUGGUGGGGAGCUUCCCGGAAACGAAAGUCUUCCGGUUCCGGGGGAAGUAUGGUUGCAAAGCUGAAACUUAAAGGAAUUGACGGAAGGGCACCACCAGGAGUGGAGCCUGCGGCUUAAUUUGACUCAACACGGGGAAACUCACCCGGCCCGGACACCGUAAGGAUUGACAGAUUGAUAGCUUUUUCAUGAUUCGGUGGAUGGUGGUGCAUGGCCGUUCUUAGUUCGUGGAGCGAUUUGUCUGGUUUAUUCCGAUAACGAGCGAGACUCUAGCCUACUAAAUAGUUCGCACAUUGUCUCUGUGUGUGUGACUUCUUAGAGGGAUUUUCGGUGUUCAGCCGCACGAAAUUGAGCAAUAACAGGUCUGUGAUGCCCUUAGAUGUCCGGGGCUGCACGCGCGCUACACUGGCAAAAUCAGCGUGCUUGUCCUUCCCCGAAAGGGGUUGGUAAACCCUUGAAAAUUUUCCGUGAUUGGGAUUGGAAAUCGCAAUUAUUUUCCAUGAACGAGGAAUUCCAAGUAAGAGCGAGUCAUCAGCUCGCGUUGAUUACGUCCCUGCCCUUUGUACACACCGCCCGUCGCUGCCCGGGACUGAGCCAUUUCGAGAAACUUGGGGACCGUGGAUUCGGUGGCUUUCGGGUCGCCGUUUUCGUGGGAACCAAUUUAAUCGCAGUGGCUUGAACCGGGCAAAAGUCGUAACAAGGUAGCUGUAGGUGAACCUGCUGCUGGAUCAUUACUUACCGUGAUGGUCAUAUCUACACACUUUUGUGUGCGCUCGUAGGGCCCGUGUCUGUUGGGCCGGGCACAUGGUGUGGGGUUAGCGACUAUAUGUCACAUGGGUUGCUGGUUGGCCCGUAGCGCCUGACGUAUCAGCAAUUAAGCCUGUGUAAAACUUUCCCUCUCUGUGUGUCAACACCUUGUCUGUAAUGGUGUCUCGAGUUGUGCCUGGGAGUUGGCUCAUGUCUGUAGAGCCCAGUGUUGGCGCGUACCCAUGUGCUUGUCUGGUGCACAUUUUGUCUCGGUGCGUUGUUCAGCAUUGUCCCAGGCCAACGGCUAGAGCUGGCGUCUGCGCGUCAUUGAGCAGUUGUGUUCGGUCCGUGGCUGUGAUGAGAUGACGUGGUAGGACUCACACUUGGACAAUGGAGUGUGUGGUUUAAGACUUGAU